rnacentral:rRNA from 1 species
UUCCGGUUGAUCCCGCCGGACCCCACUGCUAUCGAGAUGGGACUAAGGUAUGCUAGUCGAACGACCAGAACUAUGUCUGGAAGUGGCACACUGCUCAGUAACACGUAGCUAACCUACCCUUAGGACGUGGAUACCCCCGAGAAAUUGGGGUUAAUCCGCGAUAGGUGUAAUGUCCUGGAAUGGUAUUACGCCUAAAGGUGUAUCAUACAUGUUUGAUAUACGCCUAAGGAUGGGGCUGCGGCCGAUCAGGCUGUUGGUGAGGUAAUGGCUCACCAAACCUUUGACCGGUACGGGCCAUGAGAGUGGUAGCCCGGAGAUGGACACUGAGACAAGGGUCCAGGCCCUAAGGGGCGCAGCAACCGCGAAACCUCCACAGUGCACUCACGUGCGAUGGGGCUAUCUCGAGUGCCACCUGAUGAAGGUGGCUUUUCCUAGGUCUUCAAAGCCUUGGGAAUAAGAGGGGGGCAAGACUGGUGUCAGCCGCCGCGGUAACACCAGCCCCUCGAGUGGUGGGGAUGAUUAUUUGGCCUAAAGCGUCCGUAGCCGGCCGAGCAAGUCUUCCGUUAAAUCCAGCGUCUCAAGCGUUGGACUGCGGGAGAUACUACACGGCUAGAGAGUGGGAGAGGUCAGCGGUAUUCUGGGGGUAGGGGCGAAAUCCUUUGAUCCCCGGAGGACCACCAGUGGCGAAGGCUGCUGACUAGAACACGUCUGACGGUCAGGGACGAAAGCUGGGGUAGCGAACCGGAUUAGAUACCCGGGUAGUCCCAGCCGUAAACGAUGCAUGCUAGGUGUUGGGUUGGCCACGAGCCACCCCAGUGCCGCAGG